rnacentral:lncRNA from 1 species
AAGCAAUCAGUUUAAAGUGCCAUCCGGAACUGUUGGAUUUUAUGAGUCUUCCUUCCAUACAGACCAUCGCUGCAAAGUAAUUUGAACAUUCAAUUAGAUGAUUAUAAUAUUAUUUGGCAAUCCAAAGAGAACCUGAAAAUAUUAGACCACAAUGAACAGAGACAAAAAAAACCCAGCUAUUUUACUUUACAAUGAAAUUGAAAAAGUAGUUAGUUGCAUGUCCAAUCAUCUUUUGGUUGUCGACCCCAAAUAAAUAAAAUCUAAAUUUCGUAGCAU